UACGAAGGGGGCGAGCGUUGUUCGGAAUCACUGGGCGUAAAGGGCGCGUAGGCGGCCCUCCUUGUCGCGUGUGAAAACCUGGGGCUCAACCCCGGGCCUGCAGCCGAUACGGGCAAGCUAGAAUUCGGUAGGGGAGACUGGAAUUCCUGGUGUAGCGGUGAAAUGCGCAGAUAUCGGGAGGAACACCUAUGGCGAAGGCAGCUCGCUGGGACGUUACUGACGCUGAGACGCGAAAGCGUGGGGAGCAAACAGG
rnacentral:rRNA from 1 species